rnacentral:lncRNA from 1 species
CCAAUUUAAAAGAAAAACAAUGUUCAUUGCCUUUUCUUAAGGAUUUGAGAGCAUGUAAAAGCAAGGAUAUGUCAAAAUCAAAAGAUGGGGAGAAAAAUAAAAAGUAAAUGUUUUGAAAAAUAAAAUUCAAGUAGUAUUGGCGUAAUGAAAGAAAAAGAAAAUUCUUUGAUAUAAAACAAAUUAAAAAAUAAAAAUUUAAGCAUAUAAAAAUACAAAAAGCACCAAAAGGAAAUGG